rnacentral:lncRNA from 1 species
GAGUGAGAUUCUAAUGUGCUCCCAGGUGACACCAAGAUACUGCUAGUCUGUGAACUCCCACUUUGGGUAGGAAGGCUAUAAGAGAGGAAGGAGCUUGGAGGCUCAGAGGAACGGAAAUGCUGGCAUGAAGCUAUGACUCGUAGCCUGUUUAACAUCACCUAACCAUCUGCCCUGCAGGACUGGAGCAUUUCACCAAGGCAGGAAAAAUGCAUUGAUGAGAGGCGAACUGGGAUCCUUGAAGAACUCUGAAAUGACUCCUCUGAAGGUGGGAGAUGGCAGUGAUGCUGCUGCAGAGGAACUGGUUUCCCUAGUUUUAAGAGGAGUAGUAGAGACCAGCCUAUCUUUUUCAGUCUAACUUUCGUGGCCCUGGCUGAAGAACCUAGGAUGCAGAGAGAAAAGGUGUUUUUUUCUUCUAUACUAUCCAUACACCAAGAGCAAGGAGCUGACAGUGCAGAUACAUGAGUAAUACAGCUACAGACAGUGACAGCCAAGAGAAAUGGCCCCUCAUGGGUCAACCUACGUUUCUGUGGCUGUGCUCUGUUGUUUAAAUACGGACAUUUGUAGUACCCAGGAUUGAGCACAUAACUGCCUUGGUGGAAACUCGGAAUGAUUCUGACCUCUCUGGUUUUGCCCUAUGCGGUGGGGACUAUGCAGUAUUAUGGAAACAGUGGUGCAUUGGCAACAUUAGACUGAUGAAUUCAUUCAACAAACAUUAACAGUAUUCUAUGUGUUAUGCUUUGGAAGAUGCAAAAUAAUUGAUAUUUUCAUUGCCUUCAAGAAUCCGUAGUGUGAUGGUACCCUGGGCCUAGGCAUCCUAGGCAAGUGCUCUGCCACUAAGCUACACCUCCAGCACCUUCUUCUGCAUUCCACUUUUUGGACAAUGGAACACUUCAGGAACAUGCAACUUCUGAGUGAAGGCACCAAUAUGCAUUCACUUCCAGGCUGUUUCUUCAUGCUCUACCUUAAACUCUUCCUUUCCUCCCCUUUCAAGAAAGCAGACCAUUUGGCUAACGAUGUACUUCAUGGUAGAGCAUUUGCUUAACAUGCCCAAGGCCCUGGGUUCAAUCUCCAGAACUGUCAAAAAACAAAACAAACAAACAGCAGACCAGACAGUAAAUGGUAUAUUGGUCAGGACAGGUCAUGCUGUGCUUCACAGUUCUUAAAUUGUAUUUCUUGCUCUUGCUAGAACAGAAGAGCUGUGUGAACCUUAGUCACUUAGGGAUUUGGGCUGAUGAGCAGCCACCACUUUGAACAUUUCUGGAGGAAAAGAAAAUUUGGGAGCAGUCAUAGCGAAGAUUUUAGACCUCUCAAUGACAACAAACAGCCUGCUGAAGCUCGUGUGCCAGAGUUUCUCUACCACUGUUCUGUGGCACUGACCCAGACAUUUCACCUACAAUUCGUGGGCUGGAACUAGGUUCAAGAGCCCACCUAACCACUGGAGGGUCUGAAAGAGAGAACUGGAAGUAUUUGACAAAGAAAACUAAUGAUUAUUAUGAUUGUUUGAGAAUGUGUUGAAAAAGCAGUUUGUGCCAGAGUAGAGGUGACCUAAGCAGAAACAGAAACAAUGUGAACAAGGCAGGAUCACAGUGCUGGCCACCCUGACUCAUCAUGCUUCUCCCUACAGCUGUUUCCAAUUCCAUUCCAGUCUAUAAACGUUUCCUAAAGGCAUUACAAUGGAAGGUGGGGCAAAAACAAAACUAUAGGUAUCGUUUAUCUUUUCUUUUUCUUUUUUGAGGUGGUGGUGGUGGUAGUGGGUUGUUGGUUUUUUGAGACAAGAUCUCACUAUGUAGUCAUGCUGGCCUUGAGCUCUCUGUGUUGCUUAGACUGGGCUUGAACUUGUGAUCCUCCUGCCUCAACCUCCUGAGUGCUGGGAUUACAGGCAUGUGCUACUAUUCACAUCUCACUUUUCUUUUGAAUGUUCACUCAGACUACUUUAGGGUCACCUUGAGAAAAACCAACAAAGUUUCAACAGUGGCCCUAAAUCAAACCUAAGUAUGUAUAUAUGAGCAUUUAGACUAUAAAGGUAUGUAGAAAGGCACUGAGUUAAUUGGUAUUUUUUUUAAAAGAUCCUCUCAUCAUAUCAUUUUCUAACAUGUAUAAAUUUACUAACAUAUACAUAAUACAGAUACAUUUGGCAUAUUACACCAAAGGCAAAACCAACAAAAGCAAAAAUAGGUAAAUUGGACUUCAUUAAAAUAAAAAGCUUUUAUGCUUCUAAGAAAACCAUCAAGAAAGUAAAAAGAC